rnacentral:rRNA from 1 species
GUGAGGUAACGGCUCACCAAGGCAUCGACGGGUAGCUGGUCUGAGAGGACGAUCAGCCACACUGGGACUGAGACACGGCCCAGACUCCUACGGGAGGCAGCAGUAGGGAAUCUUGCGCAAUGGGCGAAAGCCUGACGCAGCAACGCCGCGUGGGGGACGAAGGCCCUAGGGUUGUAAACCCCUUUCAGCAGGGACGAAAAUGACGGUACCUGCAGAAGAAGCCCCGGCCAACUACGUGCCAGCAGCCGCGGUAAUACGUAGGGGGCAAGCGUUGUCCGGAUUUAUUGGGCGUAAAGAGCUCGUAGGCGGUUCGGUAAGUCAGGUGUGAAAAUCCAAGGCUCAACCUUGGGACGCCACCCGAUACUGCUGUGACUAGAGUCCGGUAGAGGAGUGUGGAAUUCCUGGUGUAGCGGUGAAAUGCGCAGAUAUCAGGAGGAACACCUGCGGCGAAGGCGGCACUCUGGGCCGGUACUGACGCUGAGGAGCGAAAGCAUGGGGAGCAAACAGGAUUAGAUACCCUGGUAGUCCAUGCCGUAAACGUUGGGCACUAGGUAUGGGGUCUUAUCAACGGAUUCCGUGCCGUAGCUAACGCAUUAAGUG